UUGAACGCUGGCGGCAGGCCUAACACAUGCAAGUCGAACGGUAACAGGAAGAAGCUUGCUUCUUUGCUGACGAGUGGCGGACGGGUGAGUAAUGUCUGGGAAACUGCCUGAUGGAGGGGGAUAACUACUGGAAACGGUAGCUAAUACCGCAUAACGUCGCAAGACCAAAGAGGGGGACCUUCGGGCCUCUUGCCAUCGGAUGUGCCCAGAUGGGAUUAGCUAGUAGGUGGGGUAACGGCUCACCUAGGCGACGAUCCCUAGCUGGUCUGAGAGGAUGACCAGCCACACUGGAACUGAGACACGGUCCAGACUCCUACGGGAGGCAGCAGUGGGGAAUAUUGCACAAUGGGCGCAAGCCUGAUGCAGCCAUGCCGCGUGUAUGAAGAAGGCCUUCGGGUUGUAAAGUACUUUCAGCGGGGAGGAAGGGAGUAAAGUUAAUACCUUUGCUCAUUGACGUUACCCGCAGAAGAAGCACCGGCUAACUCCGUGCCAGCAGCCGCGGUAAUACGGAGGGUGCAGGCGUUAAUCGGAAUUACUGGGCGUAAAGCGCGCGCAGGCGGUUUGUUAAGUCAGAUGUGAAAUCCCCGGGCUCAACCUGGGAACUGCAUCUGAUACUGGCAAGCUUGAGUCUCGUAGAGGGGGGUAGAAUUCCAGGUGUAGCGGUGAAAUGCGUAGAGAUCUGGAGGAAUACCGGUGGCGAAGGCGGCCCCCUGGACGAAGACUGACGCUCAGGUGCGAAAGCGUGGGGAGCAAACAGGAUUAGAUACCCUGGUAGUCCACGCCGUAAACGAUGUCGACUUGGAGGUUGUGCCCUUGAGGCGUGGCUUCCGGAGCUAACGCGUUAAGUCGACCGCCUGGGGAGUACGGCCGCAAGGUUAAAACUCAAAUGAAUUGACGGGGGCCCGCACAAGCGGUGGAGCAUGUGGUUUAAUUCGAUGCAACGCGAAGAACCUUACCUGGUCUUGACAUCCACGGAAGUUUUCAGAGAUGAGAAUGUGCCUUCGGGAACCGUGAGACAGGUGCUGCAUGGCUGUCGUCAGCUCGUGUUGUGAAAUGUUGGGUUAAGUCCCGCAACGAGCGCAACCCUUAUCCUUUGUUGCCAGCGGUCCGGCCGGGAACUCAAAGGAGACUGCCAGUGAUAAACUGGAGGAAGGUGGGGAUGACGUCAAGUCAUCAUGGCCCUUACGACCAGGGCUACACACGUGCUACAAUGGCGCAUACAAAGAGAAGCGAACUCGCGAGAGCAAGCGGACCUCAUAAAGUGCGUCGUAGUCCGGAUUGGAGUCUGCAACUCGACUCCAUGAAGUCGGAAUCGCUAGUAAUCGUGGAUCAGAAUGCCACGGUGAAUACGUUCCCGGGCCUUGUACACACCGCCCGUCACACCAUGGGAGUGGGUUGCAAAAGAAGUAGGUAGCUUAACCUUCGGGAGGGCGCUUACCACUUUGUGAUUCAUGACUGGGGUG
rnacentral:rRNA from 1 species